AUUGAACGCUGGCGGCAGGCUUAACACAUGCAAGUCGAGCGGAGCGAGGGUGCUUGCACCUUAGCUUAGCGGCGGACGGGUGAGUAAUGCUUAGGAAUCUGCCUAUUAGUGGGGGACAACAUUCCGAAAGGGAUGCUAAUACCGCAUACGCCCUACGGGGGAAAGCAGGGGAUCUUCGGACCUUGCGCUAAUAGAUGAGCCUAAGUCGGAUUAGCUAGUUGGUGGGGUAAAGGCCUACCAAGGCGACGAUCUGUAGCGGGUCUGAGAGGAUGAGCCGCCACACUGGGACUGAGACACAGCCCAGACUCCUACGGGAGGCAGCAGUGGGGAAUAUUGGACAAUGGGCGGAAGCCUGAUCCAGCCAUGCCGCGUGUGUGAAGAAGGCCUUUUGGUUGUAAAGCACUUUAAGCGAGGAGGAGGCUACUAGUAUUAAUACUACUGGAUAGUGGACGUUACUCGCAGAAUAAGCACCGGCUAACUCUGUGCCAGCCGCCGCCGUAA
rnacentral:rRNA from 1 species